GACCUAAGUCGAGGCCGAUAGGCGUAGACGAUGGACAACAGGUUGAUAUUCCUGUACCACCUCCCCGCCGUUUGAGCAAUGGGGGGACGCAGAAGGAUAGGGUGAGCGUGCCGUUGGUUGUGCACGUCCAAGUUGUGAGAUGAGAAACGAGGCAAAUCCCGUUUCUAGAUACAUCAAGCAGUGAUGGCAAGAGGUUUACCUCAGAGUCCCUGAUUUCACACUGCCAAGAAAAGCCUCUAGCGAGGCGGGAGGUGCCCGUACCGCAAACCGACACAGGUAGGCGAGAAGAGAAUUCUAAGGUGAGCGAGUGAACUCUCGUUAAGGAACUCGGCAAAAUGACCCCGUAACUUCGGGAGAAGGGGUGCUCUGGUAGGGUGAAUAGCCCGAGAGAGCCGCAGUGAAUAGGCCCAGGCGACUGUUUAGCAAAAACACAGGUCUCUG
rnacentral:rRNA from 1 species